CGAUGGCUCAGGACGACGCUGGCGGCGUGCUUAACACAUGCAAGGUCGAACGGGGCGAAGUGAUAGCUUGCUAUUAUGGAGCCUAGUGGCAAACGGGUGAGUAACGCGUAGGCAACCUGCCCUUCAGAUGGGGACAACACCUCGAAAGGGGUGCUAAUACCGAAUGACGUUUCCUAGUCGCAUGACCUGGAAACCAAAGGCCGGGCAACCGGUCACUGAAGGAUGGGCCUGCGUCUGAUUAGCUAGUUGGUGAGGUAACGGCCCACCAAGGCGACGAUCAGUAGCCGGCCUGAGAGGGUGAACGGCCACAUUGGGACUGAGACACGGCCCAAACUCCUACGGGAGGCAGCAGUGGGGAAUAUUGCACAAUGGGGGAAACCCUGAUGCAGCGACGCCGCGUGAGUGAAGAAGUAUUUCGGUAUGUAAAGCUCUAUCAGCAGGGAAGAAAAUGACGGUACCUGACUAAGAAGCCCCGGCUAACUACGUG
rnacentral:rRNA from 1 species